UGGGGAAUAUUGCACAAUGGGCGCAAGCCUGAUGCAGCCAUGCCGCGUGUAUGAAGAAGGCCUUCGGGUUGUAAAGUACUUUCAGCGGGGAGGAAGGCGAUAAGGUUAAUAACCUUGUCGAUUGACGUUACCCGCAGAAGAAGCACCGGCUAACUCCGUGCCAGCAGCCGCGGUAAUACGGAGGGUGCAAGCGUUAAUCGGAAUUACUGGGCGUAAAGCGCACGCAGGCGGUCUGUCAAGUCGGAUGUGAAAUCCCCGGGCUCAACCUGGGAACUGCAUUCGAAACUGGCAGGCUAGAGUCUUGUAAAGGGGGGUAGAAUUCCAGGUGUAGCGGUGAAAUGCGUAGAGAUCUGGAGGAAUACCGGUGGCGAAGGCGGCCCCCUGGACAAAGACUGACGCUCAGGUGCGAAAGCGUGGGGAGCAAACA
rnacentral:rRNA from 1 species